rnacentral:lncRNA from 10 species
GGAGACCUCAUCUUUUAUCUAACCUCUCUUUUUUCCAGUACAGCGUCAUUACCAUGGAGUUUCAUCUAACAAUGCUUGUUCCAUCUGUUUCCAUUUUGUCAUGAAAAUCAAAGGAGGUAGUGGAUGUGAAAUUUUACUGAUUACAUAUAUAGGAUCCAAAUAACAUGCAGUGACAAACCUCCUGCAUAUGGCUGAAUGCUAAGCCACCAGCUACUCCUGCCCUCACAUCUCACAACUUUGCUGCAAGAAAAAACAAAACAGAACAUCUUGGCUAAAACUGCCCACCUCCUUACCCCAAGCUUGAUGCCAGCUGAAGAGUCCCAGGAGACCAGUUGGCUUAGCCCGGGUCAGAGGCCCUGGAUGGGAGUGGAUGAUUGGUAGCCAUCAUUUGCACCUGAUGGUUAGAGUGUGAGAGAAGCAGUCUUCCUGAAGAAGAGAGGUGGUGUCCUCAGAAAAGAGGAAGGGUACAAGGUUGUGAAAGCAAUAAAUGCUCACGCAAAAGAGGGUUGACCCAAGGUCUGGCCUUCUUCUUGCCACUCUCUAGUGAGGGAGCCCUUAGGAAAUUGAUUAUGCUCUCUGUCAAGCGGCAAAAAUAAAACCUGCCCCUGCCUUACGUGGUGAUGUGAGGAACAGAUUACAGAAUAGAUUUAAAGUGGCCUUUCAAAGUUUAAAGUGCGAUACCAAUGAAAGGUAAACUAAGUUAUUCUGGUUCUCUCCCUGCAUUUGGUCAGUUCCUGUAACGCAAACCAUUCUAGGUAGGUUAUAAUCUCAUGAAAGUUCGGAAGCAAGGAUUAAGGCCACUCUCUAGCUCUGUUUGGUUGAGAAACAGCACUAUUUCAGAGAUUUUUUAAAUAGAUAAAAUUGUAUUCAUCACCUGUUAAAUCAUGCAUGAGAUUUACUUGGGGUGAUCCCUGAAAUUUUUUCAAUUAGAAAAAUGUAAAUUAC